GGCCUGAUGGCUCAGCUGGUGGAGCACUGCACUGGCAUCACAGAGGUAAGGGUUCGAGUCCCGUUCAGGGGCCCA
rnacentral:tRNA from 1 species